AUGAACGCUGGCGGCUUGCCUAAUACAUGCAAGUCGAGCGAACAGACGAGGAGCUUGCUCCUCUGACGUUCGCGGCGGACGGGUGAGUAACCCGUGGAUAACCUACCUAUAAGACUGGGAUAACUUCGGGAAACCGGAGCUAAUACCGGAUAAUAUAUUGAACCGCCUGGUUCAAUAGUGAAAGACGGUUUUGCUGUCACUUAUAGCUGGAUCCGCGCCGCAUUAGCUAGUUGGUAAGGUAACGGCUUACCAAGGCAACGAUGCGUAGCCGACCUGAGAGGGUGAUCGGCCACACUGGAACUGAGACACGGUCCAGACUCCUACGGGAGGCAGCAGUAGGGAAUCUUCCGCAAUGGGCGAAAGCUUGACGGAGCAACGCCGCGUGAGUGAUGAAGGUCUUCGGAUCGUAAAACUCUGUUAUUAGGGAAGAACAAAUGUGUAAGUAACUAUGCACGUCUUGACGGUACCUAAUCAGAAAGCCACGGCUAACUACGUG
rnacentral:rRNA from 1 species